CUUCCGAUUAGUAAAAAAUAAAUAAAGUGAAGCACGGUAGUUUCUUUAUAUAUAUAUAAAUUAGAAGCGUUGUUCAUGACUAAAAUGCACAAGUUGUGUAAAUUGUUUAUUUGAUAAAUGUGUUGUUUAAUUCGUAAUUACCGUACACAUAUUUUAUUUGUCACUGUGAGUCAUCAUCACGGGUUCCUCUUUACCGGCGGUGAUAUUUGAAACUUUUUUUUUUUUUUUUUUUAUCGAUCGACGUGGAAAACUGCGAUUCUUACAAAAACCAUAACCUGUAAAUAAUGUUAAUGUAACCUUAUUAAAGAAAGGGUACACCUCUUUAGUUUUAUUCCGAGCUUUGCUGGCGGUUUUCCUUUUUUUAAAUAAGAAAAUAAAAUGGCAAGACAAAGUCUUUAAUAAACCUCACAAGGUAGGCUCUGCCAAGGCACCAGUGGGAAACAAAAGGAUAGUUGGGAGGAAACCCUCUGCUGCCUCUGUAGAUUCUGGUUACUCGCUGUACUCCACAGACUCCGAAGACCAGCUAAUUUUUACAUAACAACAACAUUUAAAGGCAUAGUACCAAACUAUAAUGUGGCUGAGUAUUACUACAGGAACCUGAUUUUAAUCAAUAAUGUUCCCUUUCAGGUUACAACUAUACAUAAAGGACUUGACCGCUGUGCUGCUUUAUUACAAGGCAUUCUACAGACUGAAAAAUCUGAUGUAAAGCCUUCAUGCUCAAAACCAGGAAAGGUAACUGCUUCAAAACUCAAAAGUAACAUUUGGUAAAGGAGAGAAUGGCAGAAGGAAAGACCACCACAAAACUGGCUCUGUAACUCUGAAGGCAGCAGUGGAAAAGGUGAACCUGUUUUCCAGUACAAACCCUGUGAUGAAAGAAAAGCGCAGUUUAAAUACAGCACAGUCUCCAAAUGGUCAGCUGGUGUUCAUCUCGGUCCCUCAGCCCUCCCAUGAGGCUCAACCAGACCUGUCUGAUGAUGUUAAAACACAGAUAAUCAUUUUUUAAAUUUUCUUCCAUAUUUAGGAAAACAAAGUUCAAGUAUAUUUAACUGUCGCUUGACAACUUCCACUCCUGCUUUGUCUCCUCAAAAUUCAGCUAAUUCUCUGUGUUUUCCGACUAGCGUGUCCAAUGAUAUAUACAGCCAUGGGUCUCCACAAGGAGGGAUGAACUACUUUCCUGUAUAUGCAGGUCCAGCUACAGCAGUCCCAUACAACUCCAGCUGUAUUUACAUCCCCACCACCUGCUGUGUCUAGUGGAAAUUAAGUGCAGGAUGUACCCCAGCAACUCUAUGGCACUGAAGCAGGCUUGGGGCAGUCAAACCAUCAGCUGUUAAAGGAGCAGGAGUUGUUGAGACAUCUUUCCCAUCUUCAACUGCAAGAGCUGACUCUGAAGUUCACCAACUGAUAACAGAGGUUGAGGAGAGUGUCCUUGCUACCUACCAUGGUUGGAAGUACAAACGUGCAGGCAGAAAUAGCUUUGGCUCUGCAGCCCCAGCGAAGUGAGAAUGCACAGUUGCGCAGUUAUUUCACUGCAGUCUAUGAACAUGACAAUGCAGACCCAGUUGAAGGAAGCCCACAGGAGUGUGGAACUGCUACAGAAAAAGAAUGAAGAGCUGCUUAAAGUGAUUGAUGAUCAGAGAGAGAAGAAUAAACAGCUGUUGACAGUGAUGCAGGAAAAAAGAAGUGCUGCUGCAGAACAGACAGCAGUGUGAGGUGGACACAGCCAGGGUCAGGAUAGAUGUGGAUGAAGCUUUGUCAAAAAUGAAGAGUUUUCAGUUUAAAUUUGAGGCCUCAGAAAAGGAAAAUCAAAUUUUAAAUAUAAGUCUCAACAGCGUGAUGCUGAGGUAAACAGACUGCGAGAGUUAACCAGGACUUUGCAGGGCAGUAUGACCAGACUUCUUUCAGAACUCAAUAUGGACAAUAGCAGAUCCAAAGCAGGAUCCCACCUUAUUAAAACCAUUCUAGAACUCUAUGAAAACCAACAAAAGGUUGGCUUAGCAUCAGAUCCUGUCACAAAUUCAGUACACCUGUUCCUCAGCACUUUAGAGACUGACCAGUGGGGUUCAUCACCAGUCAACACUGCAUCAUCAAAUAAAAACUCAAACUUGGCAACACUGGAAAGUAUUUAUUGUUAUUCCAAUGGAUCUGCAGGCACACCGUGGAACAAGGGCAGUACUAUAGCCUCUUCUGAAAGAUUUUCACCAAGCAACCAAGGCAGAAUCUGAAAGUGAUGCUUGCUUUACUUUAUGUGAUAAACCAAAACUGGAUGAGACCACAUCUGUUCCAGUUCUCAGCAGUUCAAAGAAACAGGCCCUUGAGGUGAGGAAUGAAAUGCAUGCAUUUGAAUCAGUACAAUGUGAUGCAUCAAAGUCCUUAACUAAUACCUUUUCCAGAUUGGGUGAAUCAAAUGUACCAGAAAUUUCAAGUGAAGUUGCAAACAAGAUUGAAGGUCAGAUUCCAGGAAGACCUUUAAGUACACUGGACACUUUUCAUACCAGUAUUAUCAGAAACAAGUGAGAGAUGCUGCCGAUAAAUAAAAGUCCUCACAGCUCCUUGCUGCUUCAAAGAAACCGAGGGCAGAUGUACAAAAGUAGAAUAUCAACAGCUGACUCCACUUUUUCAACCUUUGAUGGAGAGUCAGUAAAUUCAGAUUGGAGCCUGAUGUCCCCAUCCACAUUUAACACUGGUGAUGAACAGGACUUCAGAAAUUGACUUGCAGUGCUGGAUGCCAGUAUCGCUAACUUACAAAAAACCAUACGGACUGAUCUUAAGAAAUCCUGUUUUUAAGGAAUGUAGAGAAAUCAAUUUUGAGCAGGUUUGUAGUGUGGAUAUAUUUGUAUGUAAAAGUGCAAUCAAUGUUUUAAAAUUAAUUUCAUUACAGAAACAUGUAUAUAAUAAAGUUAAAUGUUGUGUAGCACAUCUUGUAACUUUGUUUUUUUGUAUUACAUUUAGAAUGUAGUUCCAGGAGGACAUUUCAAUGUUUUUGCAUUAACCAAUGAAUACUACAGGAAAACAUUUCACAGUAUUACUCCUUGUGGUACCAGUUGUUGCUUCUGUACUCUCACCUUUUUUUAGUUUUGUUUGGUGCAUUCUUGAAUUGGUUUUUGCAACAGUAACUUCCAAAGACUGGUACAACAUUCCUCUCUUGACAGUAACGCUUUAGGGUGUGAAUUCACUUGAGGGGCAUCUUUCUUAAAAGCUCUUGUCUAUUUUUGAAGAGCAAAUAAUAAGGGCAGGAGUAGUGGGUAGGGCUCUGGACUCUUGACCGGAGGGUUGUGGGUUCAAUCCCCAGUGGGGGACACUGCUGUUGUACCCUUGAGCAAGGUACUUUACCAAGAUUGCUCCAGUAAAAACCCAACUGUAUAAAUGGGUAAUUGUAUGUAAAAAUACUGUGAUAUCUGUAUAAUGUGAAAUCUUGUAACAAUUGUAAGUCGCCCUGGCUAAGGGCGUCUGCUAAGAAAUAAAUAAUAAUUGUAUAAUUCAUUAAUACCAAGAUGUUUA